UGGCUCAGUUGGUAGAGCAUGGUGCUUGCAACGCCAUCAUGGUGUGUGCAACGCCAGGGUUGUGGGUUCGAUUCCCAC
rfam:Salmo salar isolate Sally breed double haploid chromosome ssa09, whole genome shotgun sequence.